GCGGCAUUAUAAAAGCCCCAGCCAGUGGUCAUCGCUACUUUGUGUAGGACCACCGUACUGACUUGCAACCUUCAACUGAGAGCUCUUCACGAGUGUGGCGACAGCUGGACAACAUGGAUGGGAAACGGAUCAUCUUAGCUCUUGCUGCAAUGGCGGCGCUCGUCUGCGGCGCCUUUGCUGUCCCUUCCGCUGAAGCAGAGUCAGCCGCCAGAUACAGCCCGGCUAAGUAAGAUCAGAUAGCUGGGUGCUCUCCGACUACCUGAUCUCGCCAUGGGGCAUGUCGACAGAGGAGAGACUAACUGCAUGGGCAUGGAGCAGGAAUGUAAAUUGCGCACCUAAUAACAUGCACGACGAUUUAAUAAACCACUUAAAAGUU